UGGGGAAUAUUGGACAAUGGGCGAAAGCCUGAUCCAGCCAUGCCGCGUGUGUGAAGAAGGCCUUUUGGUUGUAAAGCACUUUAAGCGAGGAGGAGGCUACUAGUACUAAUACUACUGGAUAGUGGACGUUACUCGCAGAAUAAGCACCGGCUAACUCUGUGCCAGCAGCCGCGGUAAUACAGAGGGUGCGAGCGUUAAUCGGAUUUACUGGGCGUAAAGCGUGCGUAGGCGGCUGAUUAAGUCGGAUGUGAAAUCCCUGAGCUUAACUUAGGAAUUGCCUUCGAUACUGGUCAGCUAGAGUAUGGGAGAGGAUGGUAGAAUUCCAGGUGUAGCGGUGAAAUGCGUAGCGAUCUGGAGGAAUACCGAUGGCGAAGGCAGCCAUCUGGCCUAAUACUGACGCUGAGGUACGAAAGCAUGGGGAGCAAACAGG
rnacentral:rRNA from 1 species